UACACGUUGAAAACACACAUCUAGGGAUCCUACCCAUUCAGACGCGGUCUCUCUCCCCUGCCCCGUGGAAGGCAAGGCGAGGCGGCCAGCAGGUUGUUCUCGGAACUGGGGAGCCCAGUGCCUGUCCUUUUCCCGAAACAAAACAGUCGUGGGUGUGGCUACAAGCAGUGGAACUUUCUAGGCUUCAUGCAGGGUUGACAGCCUUGGUUGUCCUUCCUUGUGCCCGUGGCUGCAUUUGCACUCCACAUUCUUUCUAAGGAAGCCCCAGGGAGCGCCGGUGUUCUGUCGUCCCAACGGGCCCUUUCCCAUACUCUCAACGCUCAUGGAGAUCCAUUCCGGACUUUUGGAGAUGGGAGUCUGGGUUGUGCUGGAGGCCUUAUUGGGGAGCCCGGGACUCGCUGGAAACCGCAGGGGCCGGGGUGCUUGGCAGUGAGGCUGUUUCGUAUUAAGCUGCCAACACCUCCCUAAACUGAAAGCUGGAGGGUCAGAGUCCUGGGCAGCGGGGAGCAUGGGACAAAGGCUCGGAGGCUGGGGUCCUGGGCACCUGGGCGGUGUAGUGGCCGCAGAAUGGUCUCAAAAGAGAGGUUGGCUGUGCUUAUGGUCAAACACAAGCCCGGUGCGUUUCCCUCUCUGGCUCACACGGCCACGUGGGCUGUGCUGAAGUCACACGCCACACACCUGCGGCGGCUGCCCAGUGAGAGGGAACUGCACGGCCCCCAGCCAAGCUGCAGUGCCUUGCUCAGGGAAGGCCAUGUCUGUGUUAGAAUUCUCCAGAGAAUCAGAACCGGUUGAACAUGUGCGUAUAUGGAGAGAUCAGUAGGAUCUAUCUAUCUAUCUAUCUAUCUAUCUAUCUAUCUAUCUAUCAAUCAAUCAUCUAACUAUAGAGCGUGUAGAGGGAGAGAUUUAAUGCAAGGGACUGGCUUACGUGAUCAUGGAGGCUGGACGGUCUCGAGACCUGCAGUUGCAAGCUGGGGACCCCAGGAGAGCCCGCGUUUCCGUCUGAGUCUGAGGGCCGGGGAAGACGGAGGCUCCAGCUCCAGCAGUCGGCCAGCCAGGCGUGCUUUCCUCAGUGCACCAAUUCCGACGUCGCUCCUCCCCAGAAACUCCCGCUCAGGCACGUCCGGAAUAGCGUUUGGCCAGAUACCUGGGUGUCCUGAGGACCAGUCAUGGUGACGUAUAUAAUCGAUCAUCACAAUGUCCCACAGUUCUCAUCCUGGGAGAGGCUGGGGUCCUGCCUGAAACAAGGGCAGCCUCGUUGUGGGUUGACUGGUGACCCGCAAGGGACCAGGGGAUAAAAGCCCUAGAAAGAGACCACAACAUUGAGCAAGGAUGGUCGUGUUCUCGCUCCUGGAGGCAGGGGUGGAGUCGGCUGGAUGGUACAGGACGAGAAAAAAGGUACAGGAGGAGGCACCUGCAGUGAGGCAGAAGCCAAGAGAUACAGGGGAUCAGCCAAUGGCGUAGUAGAGACCCCAGAAUACCUGAUGUUAGUGGGGCAACACGACAACAUAGAGUCCGGGGACCCAGGGCUAUGUCUGAACAAGCCUCAAGUCCACCCUAUGUGGGGCCAGUAGAACAGCAGACCCCUAUACACCUCAUGACUGGGGGCCUCUUUAAGUGCAUCAUGAAACCCCAGUUCUUAAAGUGGCAUGAAUGAGUCUGAGUCUAUUCCUUAUCAAAUGAGAGGAACCAAUUUAUCCACCACCCAUGACAAUCUAAUGCCAACGACGUUGUCCCACUGUGCUCUCCUGCGGCAGAAAGGGCAGGAGGCCCCCUCAGUUGUCUUUUAGGAGGACACUGAUCCCAUUCGUGAGUGCAGAGCCCUCAAGAUCAAAUCGCCUCCCAAAGCGCCCACCUUGUAAUACUAUCACACUGGGGACUGGGCUCCACAUAUGAAUUCUGGGCAACAGCAACAGAUUGCAGAGCACAGCAAUCUGCAAACGCUCUUCUAAGGCGAUCCUUACCUUUACCACGUGUAUUCCUACAGGGUAUCCUGAGCAGAACUACACCAGAUAGCAUGGUAAAAAACAUUUUUUUAAGGCUGUUAAGGGAUGCAUCUUAAUGUAGCAAUAUAUUUAGCCCAGUAGGGCUAUUCAUUUCAAAUCACAGAGCCAGUCCAAGCUCCAUCACUUCUGGAUGGGGCCAGACUGAGGAGUGGUGACUAUGUGAUGAGUCAAUGUCUUAGUUCAUGUGGUCUUGCUACCCAGGAGGUGAGAUUAAGCUGUCCUUUUAGACCUCAUUUAAAACAUUCUCUAUGACUUCCUUUUGGUGUUUUUAAUAUUCUAUCUUGCACAGCAGUUACAUCUUGAAUUUAAAAUCCCCCCUCUUUGAGCAUUUGUAAGCUAAUGUAGAGGUUCUAAUAUGUGGCAAAUUAUAAUUUUUCUGAUGCCCAAGACUUGGACACUGCAGGGUGGACCCCAGGGGUGGGUUCCUGCCUCUACCCGGACUCUGGCCUCACUGUGGCUUCAUCAUCUCAUGCUCGGCCCUGACCUCCUUCCUCCCAUGGCAAGAGCCUGUGGAAGACCGGUUAAGACGACUCAGGAGGUGGCUGUCCCCAGCCAUGCGGUGGCCCGUGCAGUGACAGACGCAGACCAUUCCCCCGUCCUGCACAGGGACCCAGGGGCACCUGCGUUGUCACCUUCAGCCCGGUCCACGACCUCAGGCUCCCUGUGGAAGCAGAGAUCAGGCGUGAGCUGCUAUGGGCACCCACGGGAGGUGCCACCAUGCACAGAACCUCCCGGGCCAGCACGCACCGUGUCAGACCCAGGGAGUGAGCGCCCAGCCAUGUUUCACAGUUCACUUUUAGAAGAAGAAAUAUUUACCUAGACUUGAAGAUGGCCUCCAACACAGUGUGUCAACUAUCAUUGUUGGUGAGAUCACUGGUUACGGCUCAUAGUGGCAGACAAUAGAAUGCAUUCCAGUUACUAGCAGAAGAAAGUGAUCUAUCAGCUGGUCUGAUGGAUCUUACAGAACCUCAGUGAGAGUCCGAGAGUAGGAUUUGAUUGAUACACAGUUGGAAACAAUGGCAAUCAAGGGAAAUGCCCAACCAUAUGUGGAACUUCUCUAGUGGAAACACCAGUGUUGCCAUCACCUUCUGCUCAGUACCUAAGAUUCUGGGACCCAGAGUCUCCAAACUGCCAGAACUGUUCCAGGAGAGCCAACAUGCCUAUUGCUUGGGAAGACCUCCAACUUCCCUGAGCAUGAGCAGGGCCACUGCCUCCCAUUGCUCAUGUCCUCCUACUCUCACCUGGACAUCUGCCUAGCAGAAUCUAAUCCACAUCCAAAAUCCUGGCUCUGGUAAGUGGGGUUUAUAGUUUCCGUGAGUCUGUGGUACUGGAAGGAUCACUAACAGGAAGUGGGAAUGGCAGUUGAGUGAGCUGCUGGAAAAUCUGCUGCACUAAACAAGUUUAGUGAUGGAUGGAACACCUUGGCCCACGAUCCCAGGUCUAGAUGGCCUUCAUCCAUGGUGGUUUUGCUGUACAGGAGUGGGUCUUCCUUCACACCACUGAUUUCUUAGGACCCUGUACCAAUGAAGGAUAUUUUAAAGAUCACAAUUCAUUCUUGAACUAACUCUAGGGCUCCUUAUACCUUCAUCUUCCCUCACCAGAAUUUAUUUUCUCAAAUGAAAUGUGUCAUCAACAAUCUCUCCCCAAACACUUCACACCGCAACUUCCGACAUUCACUAGUUUUUUGAGAGUUUUGGUCUCUGGGUGGAAUUACAAGUAUGUGGAGAGAAAAAGGAGAGGGGGAUUCUUACCACCAACACGGUUGAGAACCAGCUGCAGAGUUUCUGGGUUGGUAUAGGUUCUGGGUGCAUGAGUUAGGCAGAGAAUUGAUGCAGGAAGGGGCUUGGGUAAACCAAAUGACUUGUUUUCAGGCAUUUGGGCUACCUCUAAGCAGAAUUCUACAGGUACUGUCCUAUGAUUUUAUAAAAUUACAAAGUCAUUCAUUUAUAUAUUAGAAGAGUUUUUUUUCUCUCUUGGCAAAAAUGAUGCCUGGCUUUUCAACAAACGUUGCCAGAAUAAGUAGGUACCUACAUACAAAAGAAUGCAGUUGGGGCCCUGCCUCAUAACAUACACAAAAAUUAACUCAACAUGGAUCCUGGGCACAAAUGGAAGAGCUAAAAAUGUAAGAUGAAAUGUAAGAUAUACAAAUGGUCAAUAAGCACAGGAAAAGAUGCUCAACAUCAUUAGUAUUGCAAGAAAUGCAAAUCAAAACCACAAUCUGAUACAUGUCAUACCCACU